CAGAGGUCUCGAGCGUUAGACGGAGUCACUGGGCUUAAAGCGUACGUAGGCGGAUCUGCAGGCGUCGUGUGAAAUCCCUCGGCUCAACCGGGGAACUGCACGGCGAACCGCAGGUCUUGAGACAGGUAGGGGCGGUCGGAACGAUAGGUGGAGUGGUGAAAUGCGUUGAUAUCUAUCGGAACGCCGAAGGUGAAAACAGGCCGCUGGGCCUGCUCUGACGCUGAGGUACGAAAGCGUGGGGAGCGAACGGGAUUAGAUACCCCGGUAGUCCACGCCGUAAACGAUGUGCACUAGAUCGAGGAGAUUUUGACAUCGCUCUCGGUCGAAGUAAAAACGUUGAGUGCACCGCCUGGGGAGUACGGUCGCAAGGCUA
rnacentral:rRNA from 1 species